CCUACGGGCGGCAGCAGUAGGGAAUAUUGCUCAAUGGGGGAAACCCUGAAGCAGCAACGCCGCGUGGAGGAUGAAGGUUUUCGGAUUGUUAACUCCUUUUGUUAGAGAAGAUAAUGGCGGUAUCUAACGAAUAAGCACCGGCUAACUCCGUGCCAGCAGCCGCGGUAAUACGGAGGGUGCAAGCGUUACUCGGAAUCACUGGGCGUAAAGGGUGCGUAGGCGGGAUAGCAAGUCAGAUGUGAAAUCCUAUGGCUUAACCAUAGAACUGCAUUUGAAACUGUUAUUCUAGAGUAUGGGAGAGGUAGGUGGAAUGCUUGGUGUAGGGGUAAAAUCCGUAGAGAUCAAGAAGAAUACUCAUUGCGAAGGCGACCUGCUAGAACAUAACUGACGCUGAUGCGCGAAAGCGUGGGUAGCAAACAGGAUUAGAUACCCUUGUAGUC
rnacentral:rRNA from 1 species